AGCGAACGCUGGCGGCAGGCCUAAUACAUGCAAGUCGAGCGCACCUUCGGGUGAGCGGCGGACGGGUGAGUAACGCGUGGGAAUGUGCCCUUUGGUACGGAACAACUGAGGGAAACUUCAGCUAAUACCGUAUGUGCCCUUCGGGGGAAAGGAUUUAUUGCCAUUGGAGCAGCCCGCGUUGGAUUAGGUAGUUGGUGGGGUAAAGGCCCACCAAGCCGACGAUCCAUAGCUGGUCUGAGAGGAUGAUCAGCCACACUGGGGACUGAGACACGGCCCAGACUCCUACGGGAGGCAGCAGUAGGGAAUCUUGCGCAAUGGGCGAAAGCCUGACGCAG
rnacentral:rRNA from 1 species